ACCUGCAUAUUAUCCCCAUUAGAGUCAAUGGGAGCUUUGCAAACAUAAGAACUGCAAGAUCAGGUCUUGGUAUAAGAGAGUAUGAUGCACAGAGCUGCUCUGUGUGAAACAGAAAUUUGUGAUGGGCACAUCUCAAGUUGAUGGAUUCUCUUUAUAAGACACUGGGAUCAGACCCUUCCACCCACACAGAUGCUACAGAAAUACAUGCCUACAUUUUCUGCCUCUGAACUGCUGAUGUGCAAGGUCAAGUUACCAGGUGUUAAAGGCUGUUUUCAUGGAGCAGGAGCACAAACUCUGACUACUGACUGCCUUUAGUUCUCAUGUAAAAAAGGACUAGAAACAUCAAAAUACAAGUUGAGACCUAUGAGAAUUAAUGAAUGCAGUGGAGGAAACACCGCAGGACCACAUGAGGAACCAGAAAAGA